UUUAAAGAAAGAACGCAUCAUGUUAGCAGGAAGACAUUUAGUCAACAGAUACACGCUUGCAGCGACAGUAGGCCUCGGUGCAGCACUCUAUCAAGCUGAGAUGUUGUGGAUUUCGCUCUCCGUAGCUGUCUAUGUCGUGGUGCUUUUUAUUGGACUCAUCAUUGGUUUUUCUCUGGUGGCAUCUUCUGGGAGGCAACGAAGACCAUCCUCUGGGCAGAGCCUUCCGUCCUCUUCUCAAGCUCUCAUCCUGAAAAUGAUGGAAAUGCGAACAAGAAAGAAAAAGCGAAAACGAAGGGGCGUGGUGAUAUCCAGAGCCAUGGAUAAAGCCAUCAAAGAAGUGUUUGAUUUAGUUGUUCAAGAUUUUAUUAUGGUCUGGUACAGAGACCUUGGCAAGGAUUAUACUACAUUCAUAUCAGCUCUGGAGUGCGGUUCAUGGCUCUGGAUGUUACUGAAAAAUUAUGUGAUCACUUCAGGGAACUUCGGGAGACAUCACCAAGCACUGAAGGUGGAGGGAAACUACAACCUUUCCAGUUGCAUCCCUGUUUAAAAAGUGACGUUGCAGAGACAGAAUUCCUACGGGAAGCAACUGAAGUUUUACUUGUUCUAUUGUUGCCGGAGAGGAUAGCCAGCUCCGAGACUGCACGUCAUGUCAUACGUGAAAUAGUGACAUGUUCAGGUGUCACAUUUUAACUGAAAUUAUGCAAGCAACCAACAUUCAAAAUAUGAAGAAGGCAAAGGGAUUAGAAUUAGGAACAAAGACAUCAAAGGGAGCUGGUAAAGGAGAGCUGUUGAAGGCACGUAAUCUGAAAAGAUACCUCAACCAGGUAAGU